rnacentral:rRNA from 1 species
UGCCAGCCGCCGCGGUAAUACCGGCGCCUCAAGUGGUAGUCGCUUUUAUUGGGCCUAAAACGUCCGUAGCCGGUCUGAUACAUUCGUGGGUAAAUCAACCAGCUCAACUGGUUGAAUUCUGCGAGGACGGUCAGACUUGGGACCGGGAGAGGUGUGGGGUACGCUCAGGGUAGGGGUAAAAUCCUGUCAUCCUGAGCGGGCCACCUGUUGCGAAGGCGGCUUACUGGCUCGGUACUGACGCUGAGGUGCGAAAGUGUGGGGAGCAAACAGGAUUAGAUA